rnacentral:lncRNA from 1 species
AGCAGUACUAAAAACGUAGACUACACUAUCAUGUCACACUCAAACAUCAAAUGUGUUGCGUGUCUGUAGGGACUUUUCAACAACAACCAGAAGCAGCCAAAACAGAGGAACCCUAGCCUGUUACUAUGUCAUGCCAUCAAAGUUGAGGCAAUCCAACUCGACGGCAGUCUGUAGAAACCACGCAAAGUGAUUGCAGCAAGAGAAUACGAAUGAGAAGUGCUGGUCUGUAGAAAGUUGUUGACAGCCACACAGCACAUGAACACUGCCCUAUGCUAUUGACCAACCAGCAGCCGCUGCUAGUAUCAAGGCCGUGCCAUCGAGGGCAAAAAGCUUUCGCUGCCGCGCGACUAUAUACUACGAAACAAGCAGAGCUUGGUGUACAUAGUAAAAUCAUUCAUUUGGAUUUUUCGUUUUUUGAAUGACCCGUCUAAUACAAGAACACAGCUGAUGGAGGAAAAACGUGAUCUCAGGAUUUCCUCACAGUCACACCCACCAUAUUCAUCACCGAGUAAAAUAAAAAUUACGAUGAAGGAAAACGUCACUAAAAGUAGAAAUACUAUACCUCUAUGCUACUGCGGUUCGCUCUGUUUGGUUGUUCGUCAUCCGAAUCUGGAAAUGAAAAUAUUUUAAAACAAAUUGGAACACUGGAAAGAAAACUGUACAAGAGUGUACAUACCUUGCGGGGAAUCUAUUGGCGAAUAAAAGUCAUCGAGAUUAUGGCUGCGGACGGAAGGGGCCUGAUUUUGCAGCAAAGGUGCGCGUUCAUCAUCAGAUGAGAUAGCUAUAAUAGAGUAACAAAUUUGUAAAGCUUAAAAUGUCAAUUAGUAAACACUAUAAUAGUAUACCUCUGAAAAAAUCACGGGCAAGGGAUUCUUGGGGCAGGACUCGAAAAUCAAGAAACCAAGCUUCACCCCAUGACAAAACAAAAGAACUCAGAACAAGAAAAACAUCUAGCGUAUAGUUGGUGGCUUUAGCCCACUACGAAAAAAAAAGGUGUAAAAUUAAAUGAUUGCACACACGCGACGAAAAAUAUUUAGUUAGAUGAUUUACUAUACCUCGAAAAAGAAGACUUUUAUGAUAAGAAAUCCACAACUUCCCGCCGUUGUUAUCUAUAACAGUAAAACAAUAAAAUUGUGUUAAUGCAAAAAAUUACACGCACUUCACGGAUUUUAGGUCAAACUUA